rnacentral:rRNA from 1 species
CCAGUCACGACGCAUAUCAAUAAGCGGAGGAAAAGAAACUAACAAGGAUUCCCCCAGUAACGGCGAGUGAAGCGGGAAGAGCUCAAGCUUAAAAUCUCCAUACUUGUAUGGCGAAUUGUAGUCUAUUGAGGCUGUUGUCAGCAUCGCGAUUGGGGACAAGUCCCUUGGAAAAGGGCAGCAUAGAGGGUGAUACUCCCGUCUCUGCUCCAAUCUGCGGUGUGUACGAUACGCUUUCUUUGAGUCGAGUUGUUUGGGAAUACAGCUCAAAGUAGGUGGUAAAUUCCAUCUAAAGCUAAAUAUUGGUGCGAGACCGAUAGCGAACAAGUACCGUGAGGGAAAGAUGAAAAGAACUUUGAAAAGAGAGUUAAAGAGUACCUGAAACUGUUGAAAGGGAACCGUAUCGUUUCCAGUGUUGUAUCCUAUGCAUAUUUCAUUCGCGGAGUAAUUUGCGGGUGCCCUGUGCAUGGGUGUGACGUCAGGGUCAGUUUGUAUGCUGCGGGAGAUGGUCAGUGAGGAGGUGCGUCACUUCGGUGAAAGUUAUAUCUCGCUGUCUAGUAGCCGUGGUUGAGACUGAGGUGCCUACAACAUGCCUUAAGGUUCCGUGUUGUCUCGUGUUGGUGACUGCUUUGAUAGCUUGCUAUGUCUGUGGUUUAUCAGUGCGAUUGAUGAUGCGGAUAACUUUUGCUGUUCGGGACUCUGGCGAAAUGGAGCGAUACGACCCGUCUUGAAACACGGACCCCUGUGUGAAAUAUUAUUCCCCGCCACAA